rnacentral:lncRNA from 1 species
CCGCCCUCCCGCAGGAAUCCCGGGCGGCGCGGCGGCUCCGGGACGCGCGGCUCCGCGGGGCUGCACAGCAGCGGCAGCGGCAGCAGGAGAGCAGCGAGCGGGGGAGCCGCGCUGCCAGCAGCAGCCGCCGCCUCACGCUGCGGCACCGGCACGGCCAGCGCAGGUGGGUGCGCAGCGCCCGCUCCCGCCCGGACACCGCCGGAGCCGAGUGCGGCCGAGGGGCUCGGGGGGCUCGGGCUGGGGCUGGUUUGGUGGCACUGGGGCGGUGCCCGGCGCACCUGAGCGGCCGCAGCCCGGCUGGGAUGGUGACCGCGUCCCGGGGGAGCCGCUCCCGUCCGGGAGUGGCCGGCGCUGCUGGGAAGGCGAGAGCGCUACCUGGACGUGUGCGUCGGCGCUUGGGAAUUUUAUUUCUUUCUUAUAUCAUCUUCAGGUGGCAGUGUAGAAGCCAAGAACAAGAAUUGGCAGAAAUUGUGUUCUGUGUACGAGACUAUGAAGAGUGUACUCAUGACUAAGCACAGGAACCUGGAAAACCACAGGGGAGCAGUUUGCCUAAACCUUCCAGCUACUCCUGAGAGAACGUGGUUCUACUGCAGAUUCCCAUGGAUGACCAAGCCACCUUGUGUCAGCCCCUGUGCAGGAGCUGGCCUUGGGCAUGGUUUGGGUUAUGCCCAAUUGCAAAGUGAAUUAUUUAUUUUGCUGUAAAAAUGGGCCAAGGCUGUGCACCCCACAGGUACAACCAACCAGCUGUCACCAGUAAACUGUUAAAUUACAGUGACUUGGCAUCUUGAGAUUAUAGAGUCCAAGUAGAAAUUAUUAAUUGUUUCCAUCCAGUGCUUAAAGCAGUGACCAGAAAACCAAAUUCCAGGUGUGACUUUGUGGACACUCAAGCCCUGGAAUUGUUAGGUCUCUGUAGAAAAGCUGAGUCUCUUUUGGGGAAUAGUGAGACCCUGAUCUCUGGUUUUGGGUACAUCAUAAUGCUUUCAAAAUUCUGUGUGCAUUGGAUAGAAUACCCUGCAAAGCUUUCAAAGUUCUUCACUUACAAAUGAAAAGGUGGCUAAAUCUGGGUCUUCAGGCUGGUGUGCAGAAGAGAGCUCUUCUAAGCAUCUGGCUGUCUUGUUUCUCUUGUCAGCUGUUACUUCUGAAUGAGCAUCAGCACUAACUUCCAUAUAAACUAAUAGUUCUUUUAUUAUUAUAUGUUAUUGAGCAACAGGGUUUGAAUAUCCAUCAAAAACUCACAUUAAUAUCCCUGAUAAAGUCAGUGGAACUGUUUAUGUAGUACAGGUCAGCAUAUGCUUAUGGCUUUGUUGAACAUUGUUCAGUUCAUUAGCUUCUGCUAACACAUUUAGAAGAGAAAAUAAAAAUGUCAUUUGUCAUUGGCA